AACUAAACUAGGUAUUUCAUUUUCUAUAUGUAUAAAACAACGUGUUGUGUAGUUACAAAUAUCUGUUUUGUUUUGUUACAGGUGUGCUGGUGAAAAAAGGCUGAUUUGGAGAUAUAGUUUUAAUUACUGUCCAAUCAUUUUUGUUUUGUUGGUAAAUCCCAUCAUUUACUGGAGAGCACGCAAACUCGUAAAGAAGACACUGCAACUGACGGGUUCGGUUACUCGCAUAGAGAGAGACAUAGUUAAAACGAUCACGUUCAAGUUCUCCAUAAUCGUUGUCGUUUUUGCCAUUAUAUGGACACCAAACAUUGUUGACAGCAUCAUGGAUCUGAUCACACUGGUGAAGUGUAGGAAUUCUAACAACAAGUACAAACUCUUCUUUCCG